rnacentral:tRNA from 1 species
GCCUCCUUAGCUCAGUGGUAGAGCUCCCGCCUUGUAAGCGGAAGGUCAUCGGUUCAAUCCCGAUAGGGGGCUCCA